rnacentral:rRNA from 1 species
AUGAACGCUAGCGACAGGCUAACACAUGCAAGUCGAGGGGUAACAGGGUAGCAAUACCGCUGACGACCGGCGCACGGGUGAGUAACGCGUAUGCAACCUGCCUAUAACUGGGGAAUAGCUCCCUGAAAGGGGAGUUAACACCGCAUAACACUAUUGAUUCGCAUGGAUUAGUAGUUAAAUGUAGCGAUACAGGUUAUAGAUGGGCAUGCGUGACAUUAGCUAGUUGGUGAGGUAACGGCUCACCAAGGCUACGAUGUCUAGGGGUUCUGAGAGGAAGGUCCCCCCACACUGGUACUGAGACACGGACCAGACUCCUACGGGAGGCAGCAGUGAGGAAUAUUGGUCAAUGGGCGCAAGCCUGAACCAGCCAUGUCGCGUGCAGGAAGACUGCCCUAUGGGUUGUAAACUGCUUUUAUAGUAGAAGAAACACAUCUACGCGUAGAUGUCUGCCAGUAUACUAUGAAUAAGCAUCGGCUAACUCCGUGCCAGCAGCCGC